GGGGUUGUGCUUCAGCGGUAGAUUGCUCACCUACCAUGUGUGAAGCCCUGGGUUCAAUCCUCAGCACCACA
rnacentral:tRNA from 1 species